UACAGAGGUCUCAAGCGUUGUUCGGAUUCAUUGGGCGUAAAGGGUGCGUAGGCGGCGCGGUAAGUCGGGUGUGAAAUCUCGGAGCUUAACUCCGAAACUGCAUUCGAUACUGCCGUGCUUGAGGACUGGAGAGGAGACUGGAAUUUACGGUGUAGUGGUGAAAUGCGUAGAGAAUCGGGAGGAACACCCGUGGCGAAGGCGGCUCACUGGGCUGACCUUGACGCUGAGGCGCGAAGGCGUGGGGAGCGAACGGG
rnacentral:rRNA from 1 species